rnacentral:piRNA from 1 species
UAAACUUUUGAUCCGGUUGCC